UGGGGAAUAUUGCACAAUGGAGGGAACUCUGAUGCAGCGACGCCGCGUGAGUGAUGAAGGAAUUCUUUUCGUAAAACUCUGUUCUAUGGGAAGAAAAGGACUGUACCAUAGGAGAAAGCUCCGGCUAAAUACGUGCCAGCAGCCGCGGUAAUACGUAUGGAGCGAGCGUUGUCCGGAAUUAUUGGGCGUAAAGGGUGCGCAGGCGGCUUUACAAGUUGGAUGUGAAAUAUUGUGGCUCAACCACAAACGUGCAUCCAAAACUGCAAAGCUUGAGUUAAGGAGAGGUAAGUGGAAUUCCUGGUGUAGCGGUGGAAUGCGUAGAUAUCAGGAGGAAUACCGGUGGCGAAGGCGACUUACUGGACUUAAACUGACGCUCAGGCACGAAAGCGUGGGGAGCAAACAGG
rnacentral:rRNA from 1 species